GACGAACGCUGGCGGCGUGCUUAAUACAUGCAAGUCGAGCGAGGUUACUGUUUUGGAUCCCUUCGGGGUGAAGAAGCUUUAACCUAGCGGCGGACGGGUGAGUAACGCGUGGGUAACCUACCCCAAAGUCCGGGAUAACAGCGGGAAACCGCUGCUAAUACCGGAUGCCUUUACCUUGGGGCAUCUUGAGGUAAAGAAAGGUAACGCUUUGGGAUGGGCCCGCGUCCCAUUAGCUAGUUGGUGAGGUAACGGCUCACCAAGGCGACGAUGGGUAGCCGGCCUGAGAGGGUGGACGGCCACACUGGGACUGAGACACGGCCCAGACUCCUACGGGAGGCAGCAGUAGGGAAUAUUGCGCAAUGGACGGAAGUCUGACGCAGCGACGCCGCGUGAGCGAUGAAGGUCUUCGGAUCGUAAAAGCUCUGUCCUUGGGGAAGAAGGCGAAAGCUUGACGGUACCCAAGAAGAAAGCCCGGCUAACUACGUG
rnacentral:rRNA from 1 species